rnacentral:rRNA from 1 species
GACAGAGGGUGCAAACGUUGUUCGGAAUUACUGGGCGUAAAGCGAGUGUAGGCGGUCUUGAAAGUCGGAUGUGAAAGCCCUGGGCUCAACCCAGGAAGUGCAUUCGAUACUCCGAGGCUAGAGUACUGGAGAGGUGGGUGGAAUUCUCGGUGUAGAGGUGAAAUUCGUAGAUAUCGGGAGGAACACCAAUGGCGAAGGCAGCUCGCUGGGACGUUACUGACGCUGAGACGCGAAAGCGUGGGGAGCAAACAGGG